ACUGUCAUCGCGACGUGAGCGGGAGCGAAGUCCGGUGAGAAUCCGGCGCUGUGCCGCAACUGUGAUGGACCCGUCAGACUGCUCGUCGACAGCCGAGCCGAAUUACGGGUCCUAGCCAGGUCGCCUCCCGUUUCACGUGACGCCAUUGUCACCUCCGGCGCAGAGGUACGGCGUCC
rnacentral:sRNA from 2 species